rnacentral:lncRNA from 1 species
CGGCCAUGCAGAUGGCGCCUCUGACGUGAGGGUCAGAAUGCUUGCCUGGUUACCUUGCAGACACCCGAAGGUCACUAUUGCUUAAAGUGCCAGAGCUGUAAGAUCUGAUGGGCAACUGAAAUGGGAUGAACAGCCCAGGCAUCUCUACCUUUAAGCCAUCACUGCUGCCUUUGGCACUUGAACCUUUGAAUCGGACUCUGCUCUGUUCUACGCAGAGAAACAUUUUGUUGAGGACAGCAACCAAAGUGGGCGUGGCCUGCCUCCUGCGGGGAGCACAAAGGUGGGUUUUUGUUUUUAUGUAUCAACUCUGUCUCCAGCACCCGUUUAAGUCCUCAGUUUUACCGUAAGGACCCAGAUUCAUCUACAGGGCCAGAGUGUGACCUCAAGAGGGUGGUGUCAGCUCAAAGGCCACUCAGCUGCUCUCAGGUUAAACUCGAUCCCAAUCAGCAGACAACAAAGACUCUGUCUUUGCUGGAAUGGAAAGAGAUCUUGUUGUAAGAGGAGCGUUGGAUGAACCAGCCCCAACCCAGGGUCUAGAGUUUGAGGAGUGACAAGGGCAGAUCUCUAAGGAAGCGAAACUCCUCUGAGACCCGACAGGGAACCAGCUUCCUCGAGGAACCUGAGUGAAAGGUCAGAUUGGGGGAACAUCUCAGGGAGGGACCAGCAUGUGCAAAGGUCCUGGGGUGUUGUAGAGCCUGCUCUGUCGAAGGAAGGAAGAGGCUAAAAGUGCCAUGGUGGAGUAUGGUAGGAGGUGGGUCCUGCUCUAAAGGCUCGGAUGCAGGGCAUUAGGAUGUGUGGGGACACAGGGGCUGCUGAAGGGGUCUCUGGGGUCUGGACUAGGGAUUUAUUUCUAGCUGUAUGCUUCUGUGGGGACUCAGAGAUACUUAGCUUGUCUCUGCAAAUGACUUUCUGGUCACUGUUGUGUCCCUGCGUGAUGCUGAAAAUAUUAAAGUUGUUGGGGGAGGGGAGAAAAACAGACCUUCGGGCUACAACUGUACAUCUAGGAGAGUUAACUAUUUCCUUAUGUAACACAAGUAACUCCGGAGUCCAAAUCAGGGUGGGUGUGGUGAGGGGUGGGGGAGGGGUAGGAGGGAUUACCCAAAGUGCAAGUAAAUCAGCAACAGGGACACUGAAUCAUUAAGGGUGUCUCUGAAGCCCUGAAAGGCCUCUCAGCUUGGCAUGGCCCCCCGCCCCGCCCCAGCUCGCUCUCUUGAUGCCCAUGUGUGUGACUUGACAGCAUUCCUGCCUUGCUGGCCCACUGCCCCACUCCAAGGAAGGACGCUCUCAAGGUCCAGGUCCCUGGCAGGUAAACAGCAAAGUUUCAGAUUCACAGACAUCCUCUCCCUCCUGCACCAACUGCCCACCAGGAAAGUGGGAGCUUGGCGCUGCUUGCAAAGGACUAGGUGAUGUAUGAGCCUGUCUGCGGGCGCCAGGUCCUGAUCUGUGUCCCUGUGAAUAAGAAGCCACUUAAGAGUGUCAGGCAAUCAGGGACUGCCCCUCCUCCUGCCUUCGACCUUGCCUCAGCUUUUGUGGAGUCUGUGGGGUGAUGUGAUAGAGGCUGUGUAGUCAGAUCAGCACCACAGAGGGAGAACAUGGAGAUGGUGUGGUCUCUCCUCCCCAACAGCGUAUUCUGUGUUGCUAGUGUGAGUGCUGCCCAGGGACCCACGAGAUCAGUGUUGACCAAUAGAACUGGGUGAAGGACGUGGGAAUUUGGGUCAGAGACUUCUAUCAGAAGAUGAAAGUCAUCCAGGCAGAGCCUACUGAUUCUGUCCCAUGUCAGGGCAACAUCAGUGGAAUGAGAACCCUGCUGAGCACAUGGGGCAGCUGUUUCCGUGGGACCUGCUGUCCUGACCUGGGAGUGCCAUGCUGGGGACAUGCUGAGGACCACAGGUGAUUUGAUGAAGGUAGUACUGUGUACCUUGCAAACACACCUCCAGUUAGUUACUCUCAGACGCUGCAGAUUUUCAAUUUUCUAGUAAAAGGAUUUCAUCAUAAAAGAGCUAGCCCCAGAAGUACA